AUUGAACGCUGGCGGCAGGCUUAACACAUGCAAGUCGAACGAGUGGCGGACGGGUGAGUAAUGCUUGGGAAUCUAGCUUAUGGAGGGGGAUAACUACGGGAAACUGUAGCUAAUACCGCGUACCAUAGGAUGAGCCCAAGUGGGAUUAGGUAGUUGGUGAGGUAAAGGCUCACCAAGCCGACGAUCUCUAGCUGGUCUGAGAGGAUGACCAGCCACACUGGGACUGAGACACGGCCCAGACUCCUACGGGAGGCAGCAGUGGGGAAUUUUGGGCAAUGGGGGCAACCUGAUCCAGCCAUCCCGCGUGAAUGAAGAAGGCCUUCGGGGUGUAAAGUACUUUCGGCAGGGAAGCGUUACCUGCAGAAUAAGCACCGGCUAACUACGUGCCAGCAGCCGCGGUAAUUC
rnacentral:rRNA from 1 species